rnacentral:rRNA from 1 species
UUGACCAGAGAAAAUCCUGUUGAGCUGCUACAACGUUAUCGCCGUGAUCGCCAUGUGUUGCUCAAUUACAUCCUUUCUGGUAACUUGAUCAAGAAAGUUGUAAUGCCGCCUGGUGCUAUCUCUCUGGAUGACGUGGAUAUUGAUCAAGUCAGUGUUGAUUAUGUCCUCAAUUGCGCUAAGAAAGGGGAUCCACUUGACCUUGGAGAUGCCAUCCGGCUUUAUCAUGACAGCCUUGAUUACCCAUAUGUCGAUAACACUGGAGAUGUCGAAGGGUUCUAUUUACUUACAAGACCUGAAUAUUCUGGAUCAGCACCAACAAGAGAACCACCCCCUGUCCCUGCCACUGCACCAUUACCAGUUGUGGUACCACCACCAGUUGUUGAACAACCACAAAUUGCUGUGCCAUCAUCAGUUGCAAACUUACCAAAAUCAUUAUCAUUGGACUCUCCCACCGAGGAAUUAACCAUAGAUGACAUUGAAGACUUUGAGGAUGAUGAAGGUGAAUUCGAUAGUCGAAGGGCUUCUAGGAGGCAUCAAACUGAUGCCAACGAUAUAUCCUUGCGCUUACCAUUAUUUGAAACAGGUAUCACAGAUGAUGAUCUUCGUGAAACAGCAUAUGAAAUCCUUGUUGCUGCUGCUGGCGCUUCAGGGGGCCUUAUAGUUCCAAAGAAAGAAAAGAAGAAAGAGAAGAGACACAGAUUAAUGAGGAAACUUGGCCGUAGUAAGAGUGAAAGUGCUGAAUCGCAAACUCACCGGCAACCAGGUUUAGUUGGCCUGCUUGAAAUCUUGAGAGCCCAACUUGAGAUAACGGAGUCCAUGGAUAUUAGGACUAGACAGGGACUACUUAAUGCUAUGGUGGGUAAAGUCGGAAAACGGAUGGACAAUCUCUUGAUACCACUGGAACUACUGUGCUGUAUAUCUAGAGCUGAAUUUUCUGACAUGAAGGCAUAUCUUCGUUGGCAGAAAAGACAGCUGAACAUGCUGGAGGAGGGCCUAAUAAACCAUCCUGUUGUUGGAUUUGGAGAGUUAGGUCGAAAAGUCAAUGAGCUAAGAAAUCUUUUCAGAAAGAUUGAAGAAUCUGAGUCGCUAUCCCCAUCUGCUGCGGAGGUUCAACGUACAGAAUGCCUACGUUCACUGAGAGAAGUUGCUACAUCUUUCUCUGAAAGGCCUGCUCGUGGCGAUCUUACCGGUGAGGUUUGUCAUUGGGCUGAUGGUUACCAUCUGAAUGCCGCCUUGUAUGAAAAAAUGCUUGGCAGUGUUUUUGACACCUUAGAUGAGGGAAAACUCACAGAGGAGGUGGAAGAAAUCCUUGAGCUCCUAAAGUCCACUUGGCGUAUACUAGGAAUCACAGAGACAAUUCAUGAUACGUGCUAUGCAUGGGUAUUAUUCCGACAGUUUGUUUUUACAGGUGAGCAAGGACUCCUGAAAGUUGUGAUUGAGCAUUUGAGGAAGAUACCCUUGAAGGAACAGCGUGGUCCACAAGAACGCUUACACUUGAAAAGUCUACGUAGUUCUGUUGAUGCCGAUGAUAGCUGCCAGGACUUUACGUUUUUCCAGUCUUUCCUGUCUCCAGUUCAGAAAUGGGUGGACAAGAAAUUGAAUGAUUAUCAUCUGCACUUCUCAGAGGGUCCCAGUAUGAUGGUUGAUAUCGUAACAGUAGCAAUGCUUACUAGGCGAAUCCUUGGUGAAGAAAAUGACAAGGCAAUGGAGUCACCUGAUCGAGACCAGAUUGACCGUUACAUCACUUCUUCUGUCAAAAGUGCUUUCAUGAAGAUUGCACAUUUCGUAGAGAUUAAAGCAGACACAUCACAUGAGCAUGUUUUAGCAUCUCUAGCUGAGGAGACGAAGAAGCUUUUGAAGAUAGAGACAAACAUUUUUUCCCCAGUUUUGUCAAGAUGGCAUCCACAGGCAGCAGUUCUUUCCGCUUCCCUUCUCCAUAAACUGUAUGGAAACAAAUUGGGACCUUUUCUUGAGCAUUCUGAGCAUCUUACGGAGGACGUAGUUUCUGUAUUUCCGGCAGCUGAUUCUUUGGAGCAGUACAUAAUGUCAGUGAUGGCUUCUGUUGUGGGUGACGAUGGUUUGGACAGUCUAUGUAGACAAAAGCUAGUUCCUUAUGAGAUUGAAAGUAAAUCGGGCACGGUUGUUUUACGCUGGGUGAAUGGGCAACUGGAGAGAGUUGAAACUUGGGUUAAAAGGGCUGCUGAACAAGAGACUUGGGAUCCUAUAUCCCCUCAACAACGCCAUGGGGGUUCUAUUGUUGAAGUCUAUAGAAUCAUAGAAGAGACUGCAGAUCAGUUUUUUGCAUUCAAGGUUCCUAUGCGAAUUGGGGAAUUAAAUAGCUUCUGUCGUGGCAUUGACAAGGCAUUUCAAAUUUAUACACAACUUGUUACUCAACCCAUAGUUGACAAAGAAGAUUUAGUUCCACCUGUUCCUGUCCUUACUCGAUAUAAAAAGGAGCUUGGAAUCAAAGCUUUCGUAAAAAAGGAAAUCCAAGAAGUCAGACCUGUUGAUGAGAGAAAAUCGAGUGAAAUAGUUCAACUUACAAUGUCAAAGCUAUGUGUGCGGCUUAACAGUCUAUAUUAUGCUAUAAGCCAGCUAGGCAAGUUGGAGGACAGCAUAAGUGAGCGGUGGGCUAAAAGGCAAAGUGACAAAAUUAACAUCAGACGAUCAAUGAACGGCAAGUCAAAGGGUGUAGUCUCCAAUCAGAAGAAUCAAUUUGAUGGCAGUAGAAAAGAAAUCAAUGCUGCUAUUGAUCGGGUAUGUGAAUUUACAGGGUUAAAGGUCAUAUUUUGGGACCUCCAACAGCCAUUCAUCGACAAUAUGUACAAAAACAAUGUUUUACAAGCUCGAUUGGACACUAUUGUCGAAGUGCUUGAUUUGGUGCUUGCUCAACUCUGUGACGUCAUUGUGGAGCAACUGCGAGAUCGUGUGGUUACAGGGCUUCUGCAAGCAUCCCUGGAUGGCUUAGUUCGGGUAAUACUAGAUGGAGGUCCUACACGCGUCUUCUCUCCGAAUGAUGCCCCUCUUUUGGAGGAAGAUCUUGAAAUUCUGAAGGAAUUCUUCAUAUCUGGUGGAGAUGGGCUGCCUCGUGGAACUGUUGAGAAUUUGGUCUCGCGUGUUCGUCCUGUAAUAAAUCUGAUCAAGCAAGAGACCCGUGUGCUUAUUGAUGAUCUGCGCGAAGUUACUCAAGGGGGCAAAAGCAAAUUCGGAAGCGACUCCAAAACCCUGCUGAGGGUCCUGUGCCACAGAAAUGAUUCAGAGGCAUCACACUAUGUGAAGAAGCAUUUCAAGAUACCCAGUUCAGCUCCCCCGAGCACCUGA